rnacentral:rRNA from 1 species
AUUGAACGCUGGCGGCAGGCCUAACACAUGCAAGUCGAGCGGUAGAGAGAAGCUUGCUUCUCUUGAGAGCGGCGGACGGGUGAGUAAUGCCUAGGAAUCUGCCUGGUAGUGGGGGAUAACGUUCGGAAACGAACGCUAAUACCGCAUACGUCCUACGGGAGAAAGCAGGGGACCUUCGGGCCUUGCGCUAUCAGAUGAGCCUAGGUCGGAUUAGCUAGUUGGUGAGGUAAUGGCUCACCAAGGCGACGAUCCGUAACUGGUCUGAGAGGAUGAUCAGUCACACUGGAACUGAGACACGGUCCAGACUCCUACGGGAGGCAGCAGUGGGGAAUAUUGGACAAUGGGCGAAAGCCUGAUCCAGCCAUGCCGCGUGUGUGAAGAAGGUCUUCGGAUUGUAAAGCACUUUAAGUUGGGAGGAAGGGCAUUAACCUAAUACGUUAGUGUUUUGACGUUACCGACAGAAUAAGCACCGGCUAACUCUGUGCCAGCAGCCGCGGUAAUACAGAGGGUGCAAGCGUUAAUCGGAAUUACUGGGCGUAAAGCGCGCGUAGGUGGUUUGUUAAGUUGGAUGUGAAAUCCCCGGGCUCAACCUGGGAACUGCAUUCAAAACUGACUGACUAGAGUAUGGUAGAGGGUGGUGGAAUUUCCUGUGUAGCGGUGAAAUGCGUAGAUAUAGGAAGGAACACCAGUGGCG